AUUUACUUAUGUUGAUAAGAAUAGCAGAUGGCAUUUUAGACCUUUGAAGUUUUUGAAGUGGCAGACGACCACACCAUUUUUGUUAAAUUUUUAUGUUGUAUGACCCAAGUUUAAUUAUAUAAUCUCUUAUAUCCUUAGAUAUAUGAAAAUAACAUAGUGGAUUUGUGGCUGUCUGCCACCUUAUGAUCUGUCCUUUCGAAUUAUUAUCAUUGGCAUUGUGUGUAUCCCACUACCUCAUAUAUUAGGAGACUUGAUCUAUGAGGGUAUGAUUGAGAUUCAAGGAAUAUUGUGGAAGAAAAAUAUGGAUGUUUUUGUACUCUUAGGAUUUGUAGGUGUGUGAGUUUCUGUUAAAGGAAAUAAAAUAUGGUUGUCAGCUCAAGCUUCUUAUUUGAGAGACUCUGAGCGGUCUUCAUUGUCCUCAUAUGCCACUUUAUGAACAUGUUUCUCAUCAUCCAUAUCCCCUAUGCAUGCCUUAAAAAUUCAACCACAACUAUUUUUGUACCUAAUUUGCUGAUUACAGGUCUCUUGUAUUUCUCGAUAUCAUUAGAAGCCUAGACCUUGAUGCAUUGAUAUAGUCAUCAAUGUGUAUUUUUUGGGGGAAGGGGAGAAGAAGAGGGAGAUCUUUUAGAGAGCAACAUUGAAUUAAAUUGAGAGCAUAUAGCAGAUACAUGCCAUUUGGCAAAUUCUAGGUCUGUGCAAGCUGAACUAUGCACGGAUGGCAGAAUUUGGGUGAUAUGGUGGAUACCAAUGAAAGUUAACAUGUGCAUUGAACACCUAUUAGUGUGGAGAUUGAUCAUUAUUAGCCGUGAUUUUAGGCUUGGUUGAUGCUGCUUCUUUGUUUUUGUUAGUGAGGAAGUAUCCAUUUUGGAAACCCAAGACUAAUUUAGUUGUAUUCUAUCUAUCAAGCAGCAUGUUGUAGUCUAAAACUAACUGCCAGAGGUAGUCCUUAGUUCUUG
rnacentral:misc_RNA from 1 species